GACCUCCCUUCUAUCCUGUAACGAAAAAAAAUCUCCAUCAGCGCUCCACAUCGCCAGCCAUGCUCCCGACGCACAUUCGCUGCGUGCUCCCUGCAAGCUCCGUGCGCACGCCUGCUCCUAUGCCGCGCGUUCCUCCAGCUCCAGCUCGUUGAAUCCCCUGCGCUCGCCCAUGGUGCCCAGCCCCUGUUCCUCGCUUCUCCUUGUUCCUGCUGCGGCCGCCGUGUGGAAGAUGCAGCUGGCGGCGGUGCAGGCUGACGCCGAGGUGAUGCUGCCGAGCAGCUCCAUCGCGACGCUCCUCUCCCUGGUGCUUUUCUGCGCCGCGCCCUGCUCUCUGGCGCCGCAGGCUCACCGGCGCUCUUCCCUGUGCCCCCACCGUGUUCGCGCGGACCUCUGCACCUCCAUACGUCGCGCCCAGCCGUUCCUCCUCCUUGCUCGCCCUGCUCUCUGUCCGGCCAUGGAGAUCGCUCCUGGCUCGGAUCCGGCGCUCGGCUCCUUCUUCUCCCUUCCCAUGGCCGGCUUGGGGAUCUUGCUCGCGAGUUCCUGGUCGGAUUCCCUGCGUCCUCUCCAUCCCCCAGUUCCAGCUCGCGACGCUCUCUGUCUGCUUGCCAUGGCCGUUGUGCGCCGCGCGCGCUGCUCCCUGGUGCUCGCUGCGCUCCUCUGCCGGCUUCUCAUGUGCGCGCCCUCUCGGAUCGCUCAGCCCUCUCCCCGUCGCGCCGGGUUAUGUCCCUGAUGCGCGCGUCAUCGGUCUUUGCCGUGCCACUGCUCCCUGAUCUGCGCCGCUUCCUAGACGACCUCGCGCUCGUCUUUAAUGUCGUGGUCGCGCCCAGGUUCUUUGGCCCGUUCUAGGUGCAACGACCUCCCCUACGGGGCAUCUCGUCGCCUAACCAUCAGCCUUGGUGUCCAUUCCACUCUCCAGCAAACCUAUGGUGGUAGAUAAGAGACCUCGAAAGUUUGUUAGAUGAAGAAAAGAGAAAUAAAAUUCGUGUAGCGCCCGUCUGGUGUUCGGCGAAAUGGUUGAACUGACAUCAUCGACGUUUCUGCGAACUCGAAGACAAUAUGCUCUUGUACCUGUCAAGCGCUUGACAAAUUAUCUGAACCGGAA
rnacentral:misc_RNA from 1 species